rnacentral:rRNA from 1 species
GAUGAACGCUAGCGGCAGGCCUAAUACAUGCAAGUCGAACGGUGUCUUCGGACAUAGUGGCGCACGGGUGCGUAACACGUAUGCAACCUACCUUACAUUGGGGGAUAGCCUUUCGAAAGGGAGAUUAAUACCGCAUAAGACAGUAGCUGGGCAUCCAGCAGCUGUUAAAGAUUUAUCGAUGUCAGCUGGGCAUGCGUCCAAUUAGCUAGUUGGUGAGGUAACGGCUCACCAAGGCAAUGAUUGGUAGGGGAACUGAGAGGUCAAUCCCCCACACUGGCACUGAGAUACGGGCCAGACUCCUACGGGAGGCAGCAGUAGGGAAUAUUGGGCAAUGGACGCAAGUCUGACCCAGCCAUGCCGCGUGCAGGAUGAAGGCGUUAUGCGUUGUAAACUGCUUUUAUACAGGAAGAAACGACUCUUGCGAGAGGCAUUGACGGUACUGUAUGAAUAAGCACCGGCUAACUCCGUGCCAUCAGCCGCGGUAAAAC